rnacentral:rRNA from 1 species
UACGUAGGGUGCAAGCGUUAAUCGGAAUUACUGGGCGUAAAGCGUGCGCAGGCGGUUGUGUAAGACAGAUGUGAAAUCCCCGGGCUCAACCUGGGAACUGCAUUUGUGACUGCACGGCUCGAGUGCGGCAGAGGGGGGAUGGAAUUCCGCGUGUAGCAGUGAAAUGCGUAGAUAUGCGGAGGAACACCGGAUGGCGAAGGCAAUCCCCUGGGCCUGCACUGACGCUCAUGCACGAAAGCGUGGGGAGCAAACAGG